rnacentral:lncRNA from 1 species
UUUAGCUCAUAACUUUACUCUAAGGUUUCUAUUACCUUAGGAUCACAACACCAACCACUAGCUUCUAAGGUUUCUAUUACCUUAGCUCAAGCCUCUAUCUCUAGCUCAUAAGGGUUCCUCUACCCUAUCAUAGCUAACCACCCGACUCGGCUUCGAGUCAAUCAUCUGCGGAUAGUCCGCGCACUGGCUGCUCAACAGCCUACCGCACUCUCUCUGACUCAGCCUCCUAGCGGCGAAAUCGUCGCACACGCUGAACACGGCUCGAGUCACAAGACUUGACCAUCGGUGGCGAUCGCGUUGCACAUACCCAGCGUGAGCUCGAGACAUGACAUACCGUCUGGCGGCGAACGGGUCGCACCACACCCAACAACGAUCAUGUCAGACUCAGUCACCUGGAGGCACCCGCAUCGUACUUACCCAGCAUGGAUUCAGUCUACUCUGGCGGUCUGAUCCUCAAAUGGCUUAACCAUCCGGCGGCGAAAUCGUCGCACAAACGCCACGACAAUGGUUCAAGCCCCGGGCGGUGAUCUCCAUAUGAUCGCCCCCAAUCUACCCACGGUACCAAGCUCGGCGGCGAAGUCGUCGCACGAACGCCCUAGCCUGUACCAGGGACAUCAUAAGUCCUGGGAUUCCGGAAUCCACUUACCACAGGUCGAGGGUUCAUAGCCAACCCUAUACUGUCGACCUAGCUCAAUCUAGUGGCUAUACCACUAUACUCAUCAACCUAGGUUCCAACACUCUAGGUUCUAUGUCCACAUCACUUAACCUAGAUACACUUGCUAGGUUCUUAUCAUCUUUGCCUAGAUGUCCACUUCUAGGUUUACUAGUUCAACCUAGGUUUACUAACACUAGGUCAAAUGCCACACACCUAGAUUGUUCGACUCUAGGUUUACUAAUCAACCUAUGUUCUUUAACACUAGGUUAGAUGCCACUCGAUCUAUCUGACAACCUAGUUGUCCAAUCAACUCUAUUUACACUAGAGUUAUCAUGUCACUUACUUAGCUCUCAUGAUGCUACUUUGCAUUCUCUACUUUAACUAGCAUUAUAUACAUGCUAUGCUCAUUAUGCUCUCUAUGCACCAUUAUUUAACAUGCAUUUACACUAUGCAUUAUUAUCAUCAUGCAUUCAAAUUACUUAGCCUUUACCUUAUGCAUAUUUACUAAUGCAUCAUUUAGCCUUGUCUACAUGCACAUGCAUCAACGUGAGAUUACAUUGCUAAGACAUAAAGGGCGACCUAGUCGCUUCGGUAAGCACAACCCACCUUAGAUAGCUUUUCCGAUUGCUCGUCGACACUUGCAAUCGGCCUCCCGCGGCACUCGGCACCCGCUAGGGCCCGAUCUCACAGUGGCUCCCCAGGAGCGCGCCGCUUCGCUGUUUCGAGUGUCGGCGACCCUCGCCUCGCCGCUAUGGUGCUCGGGACCCACUCUCACAAUUUGUGGACGUCGCCUCGGCCUCCCGGGGAAAACGAAGCUCCGAGCGCCCGCUUCUCCAAUAUCUUCGCAACGGCUUGUUGGAUUGCCGAACCGACUUCGCCAACGUGUUUCGUUACCUACCAAUUAGGUUUACGAGGGGUCAAAUGAGAUCAAACUCAUCUAUUUACAAAAAAACCCCCAUGGAUGCCCUAGAAUGCCCUCAACAUCAAAACCACCAAAUCGAUCUAUGAAACGGGGUGAAAUCAUCUUAGAGGCAUGCUAGGGUUCCUCUAAAUCCAUUUCAAGGGUUUAUAAACCCAUCUACAAGGAAAUCACCAUGAGAAGCCAUGAAACUCACCUCUCCAAUAGCUCCAAGGGGAAGAACUAGACGAAGAGGAUGACGAUGGCGACGAUCUCCUGCAUCUCCUCCAUCUUCUCCUUCUUUUCCCUUCUCUCUUUUCCUUUUCUUUCUUUCUUUCUCUUUUCCUUCUUUGCUUCGCACGAUCAGAGAGAGGGAGAGAGAAAGAGGCUGAGGGAGUGUGAGAGAGAGAGAGAAAUAUCCCUCUCUAAUACCCUCUCACAUAUUAUAACAAUAUCUCCAAAGGCCCCUCAACUUUUUGUCUCUUACACAGCCCUCUCUGGGCAUCCUGCGCGC